AUUUUAUACCAGUAAUAUGUUAUCCAUUUAAAUGAAAUUAUAUACCAUUUUUAUGAACUGAGUCAACUGUAAACUCUGAAAGCUAUGACAACUAUAAUAAUAUGAAGAAUUAUUUGAUUUUAGAUACUAAACAUUUGUUGAGUAACUCCCCUUUGAUAUAAAUUUACCAUACACAUAAAAGUUAGCAGACACCAAUGUCAAACUUGUUUUGUCAUUUUCACAGUUUUCAUUUCCAUGUACAUCUAAUAUGGUUCGACAAAAGAACUUCAUCAGCCAAGAGAAUGCCACAGGCUUCGGGGAAGAAAACAUGGCUACAUCUGGAGAGAACUUAAAGAUCUUAAAGAUGACUGCAAAGCCCAGAUGGUCUUAUGAUGACUCAACAAUGGAUGACAAGGAAAACACAAGGACACCUUUUUAAGACGAGGUCCACUUUUGAGAACUUUGACUGGAAAUCAUAGUGCUUCAUUUGUGGUGAAAAGUGCAGCCGUCAUAGAGACAAUACAUCAAGAGGUUUUAGCAGAAGUUGGUCCCUAGGGCCAAACAACAAAAAUGUGUGUUUCGGGAAACGGCUGAAAAAAAAUAGGUAGGGUAGGUGUUUUUUUCUGGUCUUUGCGAUGGCUCACAUGCUUUUGCAAUGGGAAUAUCCGAAAAAAACAUCGUACCGAAGUAUGCGCGUCCUAGAAAUUAGACCAUAUUCCGUUUCUUGUUGUAUUCUCAAAUGCGCAUAAUUUAAUUUGUAAUCCGAAACACUCUUCCCUAUUUACUUUUUACUCGACGUUAUCACAUUCUUCAAACAAACUGUAAAUGUA